rnacentral:lncRNA from 1 species
CCAGAAUGUCCAUGGAGAACACAGCCCUCAAAGGAUUCCAGAGCUGAAUUCAUGAAGGAGCUGCAUGACAUCCUUUGUGCCCUCACAAACAUCUGUCCUGUACUGCACAGAACCACACAAGGCCACACAAACAGUUGAAAGAAGCUUCUUUUGGGCUUUCCCUUAGAAAACCCUGUUACUCAGCGAGAAUGUGAGGCUAUCAAGAUCUUCUCAUUUCACCAUAACUAUUGCCUCCCUAAAGAGACAAGGGCCUCAUAAGGAAUGUGUCUGUGAUCUCGAAGGAGAAAUCCCUGGUGCUGUUCCCCUUGACUGUUACAACCAUAAAAUGCACAGAAAGAUAAAUGUGAAGCAAGGAUCAUCUAAUCCAAUGGUUUUAAGGAGGCACCGCUGAAGAGGAUCACUGCAGAAAAUAAAACUAUUGGUCAAUGAGGACUUUCA